CACGUAGGGGGCAAGCGUUGUCCGGAAUCAUUGGGCGUAAAGAGCUCGUAGGCGGCUCAGUAAGUCGGGUGUGAAACCCUCAGGCUCAACCUGGGGACGCCACCCGAUACUGCUGUGGCUAGAGUCCAGUAGGGGAGUGUGGAAUUCCCGGUGUAGCGGUGAAAUGCGCAGAUAUCGGGAGGAACACCGGUGGCGAAGGCGGGUCUCUGGGCCGUAACUGACGCUGAGGAGCGAAAGCGUGGGGAGCGAACAGG
rnacentral:rRNA from 1 species